UCUGUAUGAGCCAAAACUUCAAACGAAUCGGUCGUAAUUGAGUGCGGUCUGUCUAAGAUUCUGCUUUUGACCUCAACUUAGGAAGGUCUCGCAACACUAAUAAGCCACGGCGCACGGCGUAAGCGCCUGACAGUUCACAGCGCGGGUGUUUUUCCAUGCCCAGUUCCUGAGAGACUCGGUCAAGUGUGUUUUGCGGUUGUUCAGACGAUUCUCGUUGCGUAGAUAAUUCCCUUCCCCGAGUUUUAUUUUUGUUUGCUGCAGCUAUUUCCCGAUCAUCUUGGGGGUUAUCGCGUGCAUUUCACCUUUACUGAUACGGCGACGGGGCUCUGUUGGCGGUGCAAGGCGCCAAAGUUCGAGCCAAUUUACGGUGCGUUUCUUGCCAGCGCUUUCAUGUUGAUUUAGCGCGACCAAAACUGCUAGGGCUUUCCAUAUUCGGUUGCUCUUCAUUCGGUUGUGUUGAGAUCGGUGCAACGCUUACGUGGUGAUCGACCUGAGUGAAUAAGGUCCAGUGUUGCGGCUUACAAGAGAGGCCAGCCAGCAUUCUGUUGGCUAAGCGCUUCCCAGUGUUGGUUUCUAAAUCAUAAACGGAAGAUCUUGCUCUAAUCCGACGAAUGGAGACUCUAUUGCGUGCUUGGCACUGGUAGUGAAGUGACCGUGAUAAAUUCGGGAAGUGUCCCGUCGCUUCUAGGAAGUGAUCGGGCGGUGCGGCAGCUUCGUUUGCCCUAGAGGAAACUAGACAACAAGAGCAAAGUGAAUCGAAAGACCCAGCACUGUCCUAAAUUUCACAGUCAAAAGAAGUGCGGGACAGCCAGCUGAUCAGAUACUGAGGCUCCAGAGCGUUUCCCAUAGCUGUGUAAUCAGCACUAGGUCUAGUGCGUACCCAAAUUGUGUCAGCAAUUCGAUGUGAACCAAGUUUUUGAGUAUUUCCAAGCAAAGGUGGAUGCUAAGUGGCAUCAAAACAACAACAACCACGAACAUAUCUGACAGCUGACUUCGCCGUGUCAUCGCCGCGAAUACUGUUCUAAUAAGAACAAUCAUUUGAAAUUCUGAUUGGCUUUUUUUGCGUUCACACAAAUUUGAAUUUCGCGAAAAAUCUACCAAAAAUUCCGGGAAAUAAUCCCACACUUGAAAUCAGCAGUCAUUAUUAACGAAACCCUAAUAUUUUCUCUUUCGAUUUAGAUGAGCGGUUGCCGGCAUCGAAUAUAUAUUGAAUGUGUAUAAAUUUUCGGUUGUGUUGGAAAGUGCCCCCGGGAAAUGAGUGUUCGUCGUGAAAAGUGCGGAAAAAUGUCAUCAGAUUUUCUCGUCAACUACAUAUUAAUGGUGGCUUUGUUGCUGUGUCUGGACACGCAACGGUGUCUGGUUUCGUGUGGCGGUGCGCCCGGCGAUACGGUCGUGUUACCCGGCCCAGGGGUCAGCAGCAGUAGGUACCAUGGGGCCGGCAGUGGUUCACAUCAACACCACCCGCAUCCGUCGCAAGCGCCGCACCAUCAGCAGUCAGCUGUGACGGCUCCCGCUGCCGUCCAUCAAGGCCAUGCGAUUGCAAGCAGUGGCCAACCGCCGAGGAAUUCAUAUGCGAUGCUGAGUGCGGCAAUGUCACAUGCUGUUAGCAAUGAGUUCAGUUCUCUUGGUAGUGGAUCUGCCGAUGGAUCAUGUCAUGCAGAUGACCUGGAUUGUUUUGGUGGAAGUGUUCAAGAUCGUUUGGGCAUGGAAGCCAUUAAAUCAUUGCAUCGUCAACUGGAUGAUGAUGACAAUGGAAACAUAGACUUGAGCGAAUCGGACGAUUUCCUUCGCGAAGAGUUGAAAUACGAUUCAGGUUAUGAGAAGCGGCACAAAGCCUUUCACUAUAAUGAUGACAUGCACAUUUCUGUUAAGGAAUUAUGGGAGGCAUGGCUACGAUCAGAAGUGCACAACUGGACAGUAGAACAAACUACAGAUUGGCUGGCACAGUCUGUUCAAUUACCACAAUAUGUUGACCUUUUUAGAUUGCACAAAGUCACUGGAGCUGUGUUGCCAAGACUGGCUGUUAAUAACAUGCACUAUGUCAGUAAUGUUCUCGGCAUUAAAGAUCCAAUUCAUAAACAGAAAAUUGCUUUGAAGGCGAUGGAUGUAGUGCUUUUUGGUCCACCAAGAGAAACUGGGACACGCUGGAAAGACUACAUCCUAGUUACACUGUUGUUAAGUGCAAUCAUUGGUUGUUGGUAUGCAUAUCAGCAGAAUAAAAAUGCCAAAAAACAUCUGAGACGAAUGGCGCAAGACAUGGAGGGUCUUCAGAAGGCUGAGAAUGCACUACAGGAAAUGCAGAAGGAGCUUGAACGUGCUCGUAUGGAACAGGAAAACGUUGCUACUGAAAAACUAGAUUUAGAACGUCGUCUAAAGGAAGCCCCUUCCCUAACAUCAUCAUCAUCCGAUUUAGAACUUCAACAGCUAAAACAAGAAAUCGAAAUGUUACGUUCUGAACUUUCACGUGCCGAAGUCGAAUUGGUCGAUCAUUGUUGGUCACCACCACCACAAUUGCAAUCUUGGCUUCAAUAUACAUAUGAAUUAGAGAAUAAAAAUCAUCUUAAAAAACGUGUCCAAGCUGAGAAACAGUUGCAAGGUGCACGGGAAGCAUGUGAAAAAUUGAAAAGAAAACGUUCUAGUUUGGUCGGUGCAUUUGUCUCUACACAUGGAAAAAGUAUUGAUGAUGUCGAUCGAUCGAUAGUUGAAGCUCGAAAUGCUUUAAGUGAAGUCACGAAUGAAUUACAGGAGAGAUUACAUCGUUGGAAACAGAUUGAAUUACUUCUAGGUUUUAGUAUUGUGAAUAAUAACGGGCUACCGUACUUAGAGAAUGUUUUAUAUAGUCGUAAUGGAUCCGGUAAGAGUGCAAGAGGACGCUUAACAAAUAGUACCGAUGAUCUCGACGAUGAUUCUGUUCAAGGUAUGCUGGACAACUAUAGCCGUAAUAGUAGUGGAGGUGGCCGCGACGAUUCGUCAGCUAGUGACGAUGGUGAUAAUCAAUCGGUGCAGUUUUUUGUGGGUGGAGCACCCGCUCCUAGUUUAGCACCACAUCACAACACAGUUCAGUCUUCCUCAAAUUCACUCAGCAAUAUAAAUGUAAAUUCGAUAUCAUCUUCAUCAGCGGCUAAUACACCGACAUCCAUCCAACAGCAAUCGCCACUAAAUUCUUAUUCUGAAUAUAACUCACACGCUAGUUCGCACAACCUCUUGGAUGAUAGCCGCAGCAGUCCGUCCAUUUCAUCUGAACGUUCCGUAACGAUCCCACCGCGCUCCAAAAAGCCUAAUUUGGCGGCUGUAUCACAGUCGAUUAUUGGCGGUGUGGGCAGCGGGUCUGUGGGAGUGGCAGGCCGAGCCCCUCUGCCACCACCUAGGAGAACUAAUUCACAUCAAAGACAACAAAAACAGCAAACUCCAUCUUAGGGAGUUGUUGCCUCGAUAUAUAUCCAUUUGUCUAUAACGAUAAUGAUUGCACUCGAUUGAAAUAAAUAUUAAUUAAGAAUAGACAAUAAACACAAAAUAAACUGGUUGAGAUAAUUAUAAACUACAUCGUCCGAUCCCAAAGUUCGGACACCGUUCCAACGGAGUUCACCUUCCAUGCGCUCUCUUCAACACAUUUCCCAACGGCGGCAAUCGUCACCGGCACCGUUACAGGCAAUAUCGGUAGCAUCACCUCCUCCUC
rnacentral:misc_RNA from 1 species